GUUAAGCGACUAAGCGUACACGGUGGAUGCCCUGGCAGUCAGAGGCGAUGAAGGGCGUGCUAAUCUGCGAUAAGCGCCGGUAAGGUGAUAUGAACCGUUAUAACCGGCGAUACCCGAAUGGGGAAACCCAGUGUGACUCGUCACACUAUCAUUAACUGAAUCCAUAGGUUAAUGAGGCGAACCGGGGGAACUGAAACAUCUAAGUACCCCGAGGAAAAGAAAUCAACCGAGAUUCCCCCAGUAGCGGCGAGCGAACGGGGAGGAGCCCAGAGCCUGAAUCAGCAUGUGUGUUAGUGGAAGCGUCUGGAAAGGCGCGCGAUACAGGGUGACAGCCCCGUACACAAAAGCGCAUGUGCUGUGAGCUCGAUGAGUAGGGCGGGACACGUGGUAUCCUGUCUGAAUAUGGGGGGACCAUCCUCCAAGGCUAAAUACUCCUGACUGACCGAUAGUGAACCAGUACCGUGAGGGAAAGGCGAAAAGAACCCCGGCGAGGGGAGUGAAAAAGAACCUGAAACCGUGUACGUACAAGCAGUGGGAGCACAGGUUUACCUGUGUGACUGCGUACCUUUUGUAUAAUGGGUCAGCGACUUAUAUUCUGUAGCAAGGUUAACCGAAUAGGGGAGC
rnacentral:rRNA from 1 species